AGCGAACGCUGGCGGCAGGCCUAACACAUGCAAGUCGAACGAACCUUUCGGGGUUAGUGGCGGACGGGUGAGUAACACGUGGGAACGUGCCUUUAGGUUCGGAAUAACUCAGGGAAACUUGUGCUAAUACCGAAUGUGCCCUUCGGGGGAAAGAUUUUUCGCCUUUAGAGCGGCCCGCGUCUGAUUAGCUAGUUGGUUGAGGUAAUGGCUCACCAAGGCGACGAUCAGUAGCUGGUCUGAGAGGAUGAUCAGCCACAUUGGGACUGAGACACGGCCCAAACUCCUACGGGAGGCAGCAGUGGGGAAUCUUGCGCAAUGGGCGAAAGCCUGACGCAGCCAUGCCGCGUGAAUGAUGAAGGUCUUAGGAUUGUAAAAUUCUUUCACCGGGGACGAUAAUGACGGUACCCGGAGAAGAAGCCCCGGCUAACUUCGUG
rnacentral:rRNA from 1 species